GCCCCCAUAGCUCAGGGGAUAGAGCACCGCCCUCCGGAGGCGGGAGCGAGGGUUCGAAUCCCUCUGGGGGCG
rnacentral:tRNA from 1 species